UACCAGCUCUCCGAGUUGUAGGGAUGAUUAUUGGGCUUAAAGCGUCCGUAGCUGGCUUAGCAAGUCUCCUGUUAAAUUCAGCGACCUAAUCGUUGAGCCGCGGGAGAUACUACUAGGCUAGGAGGCGGGAGAGGUCGACGGUACUUUCGGGGUAGGGGUGAAAUCCUAUAAUCCCGGGAGGACCACCAGUGGCGAAGGCUGUCGACUAGAACGCGCUCGACGGUGAGGGACGAAAGCUGGGGGAGCGAACCGGAUUAGAUACCCGGGUAGUCCCAGCUGUAAACUAUGCGGGCUAGGUGUUGGGGUGGCUACGGGCCACUUCAGUGCCGCAGGAAAGCCAUUAAGCCCGCCGCCUGGGGAGUACGGCCGCAAGGCUGAAACUUAAGGAAUUGGCGGGGAGCACCACAAGGCGUGAAGCUUGCGGUUC
rnacentral:rRNA from 1 species